UUCUAACUCUAAAUAAUUUCCCCGCCACACCUCUCUUUUUCCCCUUCCCUCUUUCUUUCCUUUUUCCCUCUUUUCUCUUCCUCCGUGUGUGACUUCUUCCAGUCGAACCCUCAGCCAUCUUCUUCCUAACUCGUUUUCCCUAAAUUAAAUAAUUUCUCCAUUUUCUCUCCCAUUCUCAGACCCAAUUUUGUAUCCCAAUCUCAUACCCAAUUUUGUAUCCCAAUCCCAUACCCAUUUCUCAAUCUUUCUCCCUUUAUCCUUUUCUCAGUUUCUCUCUAUUUCUUUAUCCCCUUUUUUUUACUGCUGCCGUGCGCCAUUUCCGAGCAGAAGACAACCCAUUUCUGCUCUACCAGAUCAGGCCGCCUCUAUCAGGUAUAUACCCACUGUUCUCUUCUAAAGUAUAUAUUUAUAUAUAUAUAUAUAUAGAUACAUAUAUGUGUGUGCUUUCUUUUUCCCUUGAUAUAGUUGUUGUCACUCUCGUUCUCUCCCAUUGAUUUCACUCUUCGACCAGAACAGGUACGGUGGUUUUUUUUUAUAUAUAAUAUGUAUUAGCUUUUUUUGUUUGCAUUUAUAAUGUACAGAAUAUAUAAGAGUAAAAGUUAGAAAUUAAUAGUGGUUAAAAAAUUUAGCUAGGAGUGAAUUGUUUUAGGGGUUAAUAAAAUAUUUAGGUCUGUUUCUAUUUAUAUAUAGCUAAUGAUUUGAAAUAUUUGGCUGACAUUAAAAAGAAUACAAGAGAAUACACGUUGAAGACUUUAGAUUCUUGGCACUCUGUUGUUCAACUUGAUUAAAUGGUAAGUUUUUUUUUUUUUUUUCCACUGUACGUUGUGGAACUAUUUAGUUCUUGUGUCUCAGGUGCAUUAACGUAUUCCUCUUGAAGGUUCCUUACAUUGGAGCAGCUUGGACAGAUGCAAAACUUGGUGUAGAAACGCAAAGGGUCAUUUUUUGCUAAGUUUUGCAUUGAUAGGAUAUUUCUUGCUAUUUCCUGCUAACAAGAUGCAAGAAACAUUGUAUAUUAUGCUGCAAUACAUAGAUAUAAAUAGUCUUAAAGUAGUCAUAUACACAUUAAAAACAGGGGAGCAUUAGUUUGAUACAAGAACAACAGUUACAAUUGAAGAAUGGUUUCUCUUUACUACCUAUUGUGUAUAUAUAGAAUUUCAAUCCAAACAGAUUAUUUAGUUACAACGUAGAAAGAUUUUAUAUAUUGUUCAUGAAAAAAUUGUUUAUUAGUAGUUUCUCAUAUUUUGUUUAUUUUCUAUCUAGUUUAAUUCAUACUUUAUUUAACAUGCAUGUUUAUGCAGAAUGAUUUUGAUAAUUAUACUACACUACUUGACUAAGUUUUUUUAUUUGUAUUAUUCUCUUGUCUUAAUUUAAUGAGAUUUUAACCUUUUUGUGUUUCUUUCUUUGUCAUCAGUUUUCUUUGCAGUGUUUGAAAAAGUGAUUGAUUUGCUGACUUGCAAUUGAUUGGAGUAUAGGUUCAUCUUGAUAUCUUAACUUCUGGGUUUUUUAUUCUUGAUGUGGUUCUUUCACUCUUGUCUUGUUGCUAGAUCUAUAAAACUUCAUCUUGAGUUAAAGAUUUUCUGGCUCUCAUUUAGAUUGCAAAUUCUCUUAUAUAAAUGUAUAUAAUUGUUGAGUUUUGCGGUUCCUUCUUGAAUUUAUUUGUUCUAAUUUUUAAGGCAAUUGUUUUAGGAAUUAAAUCCCUCAUAAUUCAAAUGAAUAUGUUACUAAAACUUGUUUAAAUUUUGACUUAAAGAAAAUCUUUGUUCAACUUUAUCUGUGUUUUUUCUUGGUAAGAUUUAUUCUCUUCUUGUAUUCAUUCACUAUUAUUAUUCAUUUCUUGGGCAGCGCAAAGAAGAGUUGAAGAAAACUUGAUUUGAGAUAUGGUUGGGCACUUAUUGGACAUGUGAUUGAAAUAUGGAAUAUUAUUUAUAUUUAUUAUCACUCUAGCUACAACAUAUAUAAUAUAUAGAUAGUUGGUGGUGACUCUUCUACAUGCACAUAAAUAUUAUAAAGAUUGUAGGUAUAAAUAUAUGUAUAUAUAUAUAUUUAUAUUAGUUUUUUUGUCAAAAUGUAAUACUUCUUUGCAUUUUGAAAAUAGCAUAAACUAAGUUAUGAUGUAGUUUUCUAUGUAUUUUAGGUGGACAAGCUAAGCAUUUGACUCAACCCAAGGCUGAGAAGAAAGAAGACAGACUUCAAAGAAACUAUUUUGCAACAGUUUGCAAGAGGCUAAAACUCUACUUGGAUAUUUAAGAGAACCAAGACAAUUAUAUAAGAGAACCAAUGCAACACGAAAUUCUUCUUCAAGUUGUUGGGUAUUAUUUUCUUUCUUGCUUGUAAGAAUUAUGUAUAGUGAUGAUUUGAUGUAUUAUUUACAUUGAGAAUAAUGAAUUUUUAUUGAAAAUUAUAAUGAAUUUUCAUUGAGACUUAUUUAGUCUCAUGGAGAUUUGAUAUAUUAUUUACAUUUCAAUUGUAUGAAUAAAUGUUGUA